AAAGAAACAAUGCAAGUCCGUGUUAAAAGAAAAACAAAAAACAAAAAAAUUUAUUUGGGAAUUGACAAGGGACGCCCUCACACACGUACAAACACAACAAAAGUGCUCUAGUUCCCUCUAGAAAAUUUGGUCCCCGAAAGACAUUACUCAACCACCAGGUCACGGGAUUUCGGGCCAGCCGGCUGGGGCCACAAGCCCGUGUGGGCCGGCCAUGACGAGUUUCACAUUUCUCCUUCCGAAGGUGGAAGAAACAAGACAUUGGAAAAACAAAAAUCAGGGAUAGGAGUGUCAUCUGGGCGGUGUGUACCAGCCAGGCAGAGAUCUCUUCUGGCAUCCGGGGCAGAAUCGGAAGAUCCGGGGAAAUUUGUUUUGAGUUCAACUUUUAAAUAGAAAAGAAAUUCCUAAUUUGUAGUGGAAACCUUAUUUUAGCUAGUUAUUUUCUCCUCCCUCUGAACACAGCCUAAUGAAGUCACCACGGGAAUUCUUACACAAAUUUCCCAGCAGGGUCGAUGAAGAAAACCAAAACUUUUGAUUUUGUUGUUUGGUUUUAGCAAACUCCAAGGCCAUUACAUUUCUCCUCCCCACCCCCCCAUGAAUGUUUUAUUCUCUCCCUCUUUCUUUUUUUCUUUAAAAAGUAUUUUUUAAUAUUUUCAAAAGCCUCACCAAUCUUUUUCAUAAAGACCUGGCCUGGAGGUGCCCUAUGCGGUGCUCUGCGGAGCGGAGGCACCACGGCCUCACAAGGAGCGGGGGAUGAGAACUCGGUUGCAGGCCGCGGAACGAGGCUGUCCCUGCUCCAGCCUGGGGCUCAACCCCCGCCCCGCCCAGUGGGCCCCUCUGCAAGCGGCUUCUGAUCAGUUCCAGGAGGGAUCGCAGAGCGACCAGACACGUUCUUUCCAUUCUCCGGUAGUGUGGGUCCCUCUUCCCCCAGCAGCCUAGCGCUUCUAGUCGCAGACAGUCGGGGUGGGGAAUUAAAAAUAAAAUCGAGCUUGAGUCCACCGACCUGGAAGAGAGGGCCAAGAGGUAAGCUGCGUCUCAGACACUUCGACCGCACCUCGGCCGGGGACUCACUCCCUGCGGUGAGGAGAGGAGGCCCGCGGAAAGCACGGAGUGGGCGGCCUCCGGCCAGCAGCACGGGAAAGCAGAGGCCGCGGCGGGGAAGAGCACCGGAGGAGCAGCGGAGGCGACAAAGCGGAGUCGCAGGAGCGGGGCGGACCGAGGAAGGGCAGACCGCUCGAGGGCUCUGCAUCCAGAAGCUGUCCCGGAGUGCGCGCUGUCAGGCUGGCUGCUGCGGCUGCGACCCGAGCUCGGCUCCUCCACUCCCGGGAUAGGGGUGGGGGACCGCUCCCGCGCGCGUUGGCACUCAGAGAUCCAGACGCGAGUGCAGCGCGCCCGUCUUGCUGUCGUGGUCCCAGUAUGAGCAAUGCAUCAUGGCGAGCUCGGGUUGCCGGGCGCAGGCGAACUGCAGGCCGGGCGCGCUCGUGGGCGCGGGUGCCGGGGGCGCGGCGGUGGCCGGGCUGGCGGGACUGAGCUGACCCGGGGGAGGCGCGGCAGCCCCGUGGUGUGGCGGGGCUGGCGGGGGCGCAGCGGCCGCGUGCAGAUGAUGUGCGUGAGGGUGCGGGUGAGGGUGCGGCGGCGGUGGCGGCGGCGGUGGUGCGGCAGGAGGGCCCCCCAGGCCGUUGUAGGAGUUCACGACGCCCGGAGGCAGCGCCAUGCUCUGCACGCGCGAGUACGGCCCGUAGGAGGCGGCGGGGCCCGCCAGCCCCUUGACCACCGCGGCUGCACCGGGGCUGCCCGGGCCGGCGGCUGCAGCGGCUGCAGCAGCGGCCGCCGCAGCCGCCGCCAUCUGGCAGGAGGCGUAGGGCAUGGGCGAGGGAGGCUGCGGCAGGGGCCAGGAGUUGUUGAGGAACCCCGAUUGCAGGUACUUGGGUGGCGCCAGGUAGCCAUAGCCAUCGGCCCCAGCUCCGGGCACGCCGCAGCCACCCGCCGCUCCUCCGCUCCCGAAGAGCCCCUUGCCGGGCUGGAAGUGAGCGGGCGGCGGCCGGAAGGGCCGCUUCAUGCGGCGGCGGCGCCGGUAGUUGCCCUUCUCGAACAUGUCCUCGCAGGCCGGGUCGAGCGUCCAGUAGUUGCCCUUGCGCUCGCCGCCGCCCUCGCGCGGCACCUUGAUGAAGCACUCGUUGAGGCUGAGGUUGUGGCGGAUGCUAUUCUGCCAGCCCUUCUUGUUCUUCUCGUAGAACGGGAACUUGGCUAUGAUGUACUGGUAGAUGCCGGACAGAGUGAGCCUCUUCUCGGCGCUCUCGCGGAUCGCCAUGGCGAUGAGCGCCACGUACGAGUACGGGGGCUUCUGCGCGGGGUCUGGUUUCUCCGGUGUUGUCCCGCCUCCCUUGCCGGGACUCGGCGGCGACGCCUCGGCCUCUUUGACUGCGCGUCCGCUCUCCGGAGCCAGCAGGGUCCCCGCCGUGUCUUCGGGCUCGGGGUAGCUGGCCAUCAUGACAAAAGCCGGCUCUCCGCGGCCGGGCAGCCCGGAGGCUGUGCUCUCCUGGUGCAGGCUCGCCUUGCAGGCGGGCGCAGGAGUGUGCGCUCGGCGCAGAGCCUCUAACUUCUGCAGGCUGCGGGGACCGGAGGCCUCGCGCGGCUCUCACUCUCUUCUCUUUUCCCCCCGGGGAGCGGUCUGCGGGAGUGGAAGUCAGCCUCUGGCCAUCGGGAGUCUGCCCAACAGCGAGGGGCUCCGGCCCCGCCGCCCCUCCCCGCCCAGGCCAGUCCCCGCCUCGGUGGGUUUUCUUGGCUGAGCUCUCCCCUCCCCCCACCGCCCGGUUUCCCCGAGGCGCGACCCGCGUCUCUGGCGCAGCCGCCUCCUGGAGUCCCUAGUGCGCCAGGAGCCUCGCUCCGUUCUGAUUCGUAUGGGCUCCGCAGAGUUCCGCUUGCGUCAGGGGCCUUCGCCCCUAUAGCGGGGCAGCCAGCAGCGCACGGGCGAGUUCAUCUCUAAGUCUCCUUUUUUUUUUAAACGGCCGGCAGAACUUGGACCGGCCUUCCCGAGCCUCCGGAGCCUCCCGGGCCCAGCCAACAGCCUGCCUCACGCUCUUACGAGUCUUGAAAAUCUGCGGGUGUUUGCUUCGCCGAAAAGCCCUGGUUGGGGCUCGCUGCGCCCUGCCAGUGCCCCGGGAAUGCUGACCCCAGCGAGGAGAGGUGAUCCAAGCCUCUGGGCAGCUUUCAGGUGAAAGAAAACAAAACCCUUUGCUCUGUGCUUCGGGCUGUGCUGGGGCUAGACUUCUAGCUUUGAGGCUUAGGGAGGGGCGAGAUGGCAAGGGGGCCGGACCGGGGUGGAGUGGCCGAACUUUGCGGCAGCUGGAGGUAAACCAGCUCAGAGCUCGUGUCACGGAAGGCAGAAGCUUCGGCCUGCUCUGUCCCUCGAGCUCUCUGAGCCCAAUUGAGGCUGGGGAGAGGAUCGCUGGGAAGAGACACCCAGGAGUACCGCUCACUGGCAUCGGACGUUUCGCUUCUCUGUGCUGAGGUGGAUGUAGGGACCAGCUUUCUCCUUGGAACUCGCCUUGCAAUCCCACAAUUUGGGUGUGUGUUUUAAAGAUCAAGUGGUAUCCCUUGUACUCUGGCUUGGACACAGACGAGGAUGUUGCUGAGGGGCUUUGGGGACUGUUGCGUGCACAAGUGUCACGCGUGGAAGGCACGGGGCAAAAAUCUGUUCUUAAAGACACACGUGAUACUGCGCAAGUGUGCUGUUCAGAAACCCAGGUAUGCUUAUAUAUGUACAAUGUGUGAGACUUGUAUUUGCUUAUUUUUGCUUAGUGAGGUGUAUGAAUCAAGCACCAGAGUACAUGGUUGUAUCCAUGAACAUGGUUCGUGGAUACAACCUCUUUUUUUUUUUUUUUUCCUGUCUUCCUUUGUCCUUCCUACCCUUACAGCCGUUACCUGCAUCUUCUCCUUCCAGCAUAGGUAAGGAAGGAAAACCACAGGCUGGGGAGGCGCUUUCUCGCGUCCCAGUCACGAAUGGACAGUAGUCUUUCCCCUUGUUUUUAAGAUAAUAGCCGAAGUCUGGUGGGGAUCCAGUUACAUCUCCGAAAAUAGAAAACGGACUUAGAGGAAUUCCUUCCGUGCCAGCACAACAUCAGGUGUGCCCUGUCACUCAGCCUUAACACAGGUUUGCAGUCUUGGAAGUGUGAGAGAGGCUGAGGAAGAGUGAUCAGACACGUUGUGAAGGAUAAUGGUCUGAAUGAAUGAUGUGUGCCAGUCACACAUCUAGGUGGCUAUCCCAGUGCCUGUUUCUACCUCUUUCUUUCAGGUUGCUUGGACUUUAAGAGUUCUCCAGAAUGCCACGAGCCCACACUGGCCAGUGGCUCCAGCGGUCCGAAGACCAUUUAUCUACAGUGUGUGCUUGUGCUUCCCACUUUGAGAUGAAGGGAAAGG
rnacentral:lncRNA from 1 species